rnacentral:rRNA from 1 species
UACGAAGGGGGCGAGCGUUGUUCGGAAUUACUGGGCGUAAAGGGCGCGUAGGCGGCGACUCUAGUCAGAUGUGAAAGUCCUGGGCUUAACCUGGGGACUGCAUUUGAUACUGGGUUGCUUGAAUUCGGGAGAGGAUAGCGGAAUUCCCAGUGUAGAGGUGAAAUUCGUAGAUAUUCGCAAGAACACCAGUGGCGAAGGCGGCUCACUGGCCCGAUACUGACGCUGAGGCACGAAAGCGUGGGGAGCAAACAGG